AAAGUCGUAACAAGGUUUCCGUAGGUGAACCUGUGGAAGGAUCAUUACUGAUUGGAGGAUGUGCUGGCUAAUUUUGAGGGUUAGCAUGUGCACUCCUCAAAAUCUUCAUUCUCUACACCAUUGUGCACAACCCAGUAGGCAAAACAGGUUCACAGAGCAAUCUGUGCACAUUGUCUGCCUAUGCUUUUUAUACCAAACGCCAAUAAUAUGUCAGAAUGAUGUAUUGCAGUAAGCUUUCACAAGCUGAAAUCUAAUACAACUUUCAACAAUGGAUCUCUUGGUUCUC
rnacentral:misc_RNA from 1 species